UUCGCCCUUAGAGUUUGAUCCUGGCUCAGGAUGAACGCUGGCGGCGUGCUUAACACAUGCAAGUCGAACGGGGCACCCCUGAAGGAGUUUUCGGACAACUGAAGGGAAUGCUUAUUGGCGGACGGGUGAGUAACGCGUGAGUAACCUGCCUUGGAGUGGGGAAUAACAGUUGGAAACCGCUGCUAAUACCGCAUGAUGCAGUUGAGUCGCAUGGCUCUGACUGCCAAAGAUUUAUCGCUCUGAGAUGGACUCGCGUCUGAUUAGCUAGUUGGCGGGGUAACGGCCCACCCAGGCGACGAUCAGUAGCCGGACUGAGAGGUUGGCCGGCCACAUUGGGACUGAGACACGGCCCACACUCCUACGGGAGGCAGCAGUGGGGAAUAUUGGGCAAUGGGCGCAAGCCUGACCCAGCAACGCCGCGUGAAGGAAGAAGGCUUUCAGGUUGUAAACUUCUUUUCUCAGGGACGAAGAAAGUGACGGUACCUGAGGAAUAAGCCACGGCUAACUACGUGCCAGCAGCCGCGGUAAUACGUAGGUGGCAAGCGUUAUCCGGAUUUACUGGGUGUAAAGGGCGUGUAGGCGGGAGUGCCAGUCAGAUGUGAAAACCACGGGCUCACCCUGUGGCCUGCAUUUGAAACUGUACUUCUUGAGUCCUGGAGAGGCAGACGGAAUUCCUAGUGUAGCGGUGAAAUGCGUAGAUAUUAGGAGGACCACCAGUGGCGAAGGCGGUCUGCUGGACAGCAACUGACGCUGAGGCGCGAAAGCGUGGGGAGCAACCAGAAUUAGAUCCCCUGGUAGUCCACCCUGUAAACGAUGGAUCCUAGGUGGUGGGGGGAGUGACCCCCUCCGUGCCGCGAGUUCACACAAUAAGUAUCCCACAUGGGGAGUGCGAUCGCAAGGUUGAGACUCUAAGGAAUUGACGGGGGCCCGCGCAAGCGGUGGAGUAUGUGGUUUAAUUUGAAGCGACGCGAGGAACCUUUCCAGGGCUUGACAUCUCGAGGCCAGGCUUAGAGAUAGGUCCUUUUUUUUGGAGACCUCGGUGACAGGUGGUGCAUGGUUGUCGUCAGCUCGUGUCGUGAGAUGUUGGGUUAAGUCCCGCAACGAGCGCAACCCUUAUUGUUAGUUGCUACGCAAGAGCACUCUAGCGAGACUGCCGUUGACAAAACGGAGGAAGGUGGGGACGACGUCAAAUCAUCAUGCCCCUUAUGUCCUGGGCCACACACGUACUACAAUGGUGGUCAACAGAGGGAAGCAAAACCGCGAGGUGGAGCAAAUCCCUAAAAGCCAUCCCAGUUCGGAUCGCAGGCUGCAACCCGCCUGCGUGAAGUUGGAAUCGCUAGUAAUCGCGGAUCAGCAUGCCGCGGUGAAUACGUUCCCGGGUCUUGCACACACCGCCCGUCA
rnacentral:rRNA from 1 species